AUGGUCAAACCAUUAGCCAAAUACACUAGCAAAAUAUUACCCAGACUACCCAUGCAUAGUCCAGAUACAAGUCAGAUACGAGUUGGACAGAGGCCAGAUAAUGCCCGGAAAAUGCGUUUUCUGCGCUACGCUUCGUGCAUCUCCGGCCUGCGGUGCGCCCGCGGCCACCCCGGCUCGCCUCUGUUCCGCGCGCGUGCGCGCGGCCGUCCGGCCCAACUCCAUCCCGCCGCGCUGGCCCCGCUGUUUGCCGCCUUCGCGCGCCAUCCCGGGCCGGCUCCCGGGUCCGCUCGCGCGUUGGCUCCGCCUGCUUACCAGCUCCGCGCGUCCCGGCCGGCUCUGCUAGCGGCGCCUCCGCCCCCACGCACUCGCGGCCGGGCCGGCUUCGCUCCGCCCCGUGCCGUCUGCUCCACCCCAGGCCGCCGUCUUCUCGCACCCGAGCGCAGCUCGACGCUGGCCACCGCUCCGCUGCCGGGCUACCCUGCCGGCCUCCCGCGCCCUCCGCGCAUCCUGGCCGGCUCCUGCGCGACUGUCUCCCCAGCAUGGCCUCCGCCCGGCCGGCCUGGCCGACUGCUGGAGUCCCCCGACCGCACGGACGUCGGCCGCCCCGCGCCUGCACCACAUCGUCCCUGCCCGUCACCGCUGCACCAACCGCGCCGCGUCCGGUUUCGCCGGCCGCCGGGUCGCCACGCCCGGCUCUCUCCGACUCCGCGUCCCGCAGAUGCCGGCGCCGCCUCCGUCCAGCUGGCCGUGCCGGCUCCCGCUCCCGCUCCACAGCGCCGGCUCACCGACCAACCCGGCCGCUCUGCCUUCCUCACGCACGCCGGCUCCCCUGCGAGCCCCGUGCCGAGCCGCCGCCGUUUCCCCUGCGAGCCCCGUGCCGAGCCGCCGCCAUCUCCCCCGACUCUGCCUGGCCGCCGACUCCAGAUCCGGCUGCGCCGGCUGCCGCUGUCCGGGGCCGGCCUCCGCCCCUCUCUGCCUCGGGUCGCGACCGGGCGCUCCGCGCCCGCAGCCGGCUCCCGCGCCCGUGUCCUGCGUCCACGACCACCCGGCUGCGCCGGGCCGACUCUGCCCGUGGCCGCCGGCUCGCCACUGCAGCCGGCCCCGGCCGCGUCCCUGCUGCUGCCGGCUCCGAGCCGUCCCGCCAGCCGGCCGCCCCGCCUCGCGCGGCUCCUCCCACGCCCGCCGGGAUGCCGCCCCGCGCUGGCCCGGGACCUCCGCGCCGGCUCCGGCUUCUCGCCUAGCCGGCCCCGUGCCCGGUCUCCUCGCGGCUGCGGCUGCGCCCAAACUCCGGCCUCCAGCCUCGAGCGCCGCUUCCGGCCGGCUCCCGCCCGCUCCGGCCGGCUCCGGCGUCCACCAUCGCCGCUGGCCGACUUCGCCUCCGACCCUGCCAUGGCCACGCUGCCCCGUCCGCGCACCGCCGCCCAUGCCCGCGCUGCGCCGCCUCCCGUCGCGCCUCCCGCCGGCUUCGCCCGGGCCGGCUCCAACUUCGCCUAG
rnacentral:rRNA from 1 species